UACAGAGGUCCCGAGCGUUGUUCGGAUUCACUGGGCGUAAAGGGUGCGUAGGUGGCCUGAAAAGUUUGAUGUGAAAGCUCAGGGCUUAACCCUGAAAUGGCAUUGAAUACUGUCGGGCUGGAGGUUUGGAGGGGGGACUGGAAUUCUUGGUGUAGCAGUGAAAUGCGUAGAUAUCAAGAGGAACACCAGUGGCGAAGGCGAGUCCCUGGACAACACCUGACACUGAGGCACGGAAGCUAGGGGAGCAAACAGG
rnacentral:rRNA from 1 species